AGCUACACCACAGUUCACAGCAAUGCCAGAUCCUUAACCCACUGAGCAAGGCCAGGGAUCAAACCCGAAUCCUCAUGGAUGCUAGUCAGGUUCUUAACCUGCUGAGCCACAAUGGGAACUCCAAUUAUGGUUUUUUAAGUCAUUUAAAUUUGUGGGAGGGUUAGCCCCUCUUCUAGAUGUAAGCUCAGUGGAAGAGGAACCAUGUUCUCUUGUUGGCCAUCCUCCUAUGAGUACCCAGCAUGGUGCCUUACAAGUGGGGGGAGGCAGGAAAUAACUGUCGAGGGGAAGCAAGAAGGGGUUGCACAGCCAGGAAGAGCAAGCCCAUUCGAAUGAAGCUCUCUCUUCUCUUUCUGUGGAUGCUAAAUAUCCCACUCUCUUUAAAUAGCAUCAAGAUCAACAGUGAUUUCCCACUGUGUGCCAUGUCCAGUAACUUCCUCAGUCCUCAUCAUUCAGCUUCUCUGUGGAGGCAGAUACAGUGAACCCUGCUGAACUGGAGACCCUGGUUCUUUGCUGCCAGGUCUCCAUCCUCUCCUCCCUCUCCUGUGCUUGCUCACUGCAUUCUCCUCUCACUUCUUAAAGGGAGCUAGUCAGUGACUCUGGAUUCCACUUAAUCGUCUUCUGGAGCAGCUCCCUCCCUUGAUAACUCAUUCAGUCUUGGCUUCAGCCUUCAGCUUUUGCAGGUACCCAUGAUGCUACAUUGCUAAAUUCCAAAAUGCUCUUUCUGCUGCCUGCUUUUCUUUUUUCCUCUCUGGAAAUGUCACUAACCUUCCCAUUGCCAGGCUGGGAAACUUGGAGUCUUUCUCAACAUCAUUCUUCAUGUUUACCACAUAUUCAAGAUAACAAAACACUAAAAAUAUUCACUGUCUUCUCACUGUCUGUGACUCAAGUCUCUUGAUAGUCUGGACCUUCCCAUCUUUCAGAUUUCCUAUUUUCCCCAAUUCUCUGCUAUCCUUUACCAAAUGACUACUUCCAAGUUCCUCUUUUGCCAACAAUGCCCAAAUGCUUCUAUUUACACUACCCAAAGUCUACCUUUCCUUCAAGGAUUAUCUCAAAUACUUCCCACUUUAAAAGUCUCUCUUGAGCUUUCUAAUCAAUUAUAAUUGUUUUGGCUUUAAAUUACCAAUUCACUGUGUACCUUUCAUUUGGCAUUCUCUGAAUUCUUUAUUGUUUAAUGAGUUUCUAUGUACUUGUCUGUAGCCUUUAGAGAAAGACUAAUAAAUAAAUCUCUGAAAAGACGCAACUAGUUAAAAAGAGAGUUGGCAUAAAUUACCAAUACACGUCAUAUAGCAUUAAAAGUAUUAAGUGGGUAUUAUAAAUAUUUUUAUAUUAAUGGAUUUAAAAAUAGAGAUACAAUAUGGAUUAUAUAGACUGAAGUGUAAAAAGGUGAACAAGAAAGCUUAUGGACUGUAACAGGUGAGGAUAUCUUCAUCAUGUUGGUGAAGCGAAAUUUGGACAAGACAUAAAAUUCACCAGCCCUAAAAACAAAGAUGGACAAAUUGGUCAUAUUAAAAUUGAAUGAAAGAAGAAAUAAGAAAGAAAGAAAUAUUGUAAGACUCUAUGUGACAUUCACACAUGAGCACAGCUCAUGUAUGAUGGAGAGUGAGAAUAAGGACAGAAGCUUUGGGGAUAAGGAUGAUGUUCCAUGGUCAGAUCCGAGUGGAUGGGCUCACUUUUCAUCAUCAACUAGUACACUGAUGAUGAUAGGUAUAUGAGUUACACUUUGCAUUAUCAAAGCUUAUCAAACAACAACAACAGCAAAAACCCUGGGCUGGAGGGCCUGCUUAAAUUCAUGUACAUCCUAGCACUCAUCUUUUUUGCAAGUUGCUUUAUCUCUCCAUCACUCUGGCGCUGUCUCCACUCAUGGUUUCCAUCGCUUCUCUCUGUGGAUGUGGUCCUAGCACAUUCCUCUGUUCCACCCUUAGCUUUCAACCCAACCUGGAUGUGUUGAUUCUCAUCCUCUGUCUAAGUAUUUUGCCCUGGGAGCUGAUUUUUCAUUCUCAACUUCUGUGUGAAUAUUUCACUAAUAAGUCCCCAUUUCAGGUUAGUUCUACUUCUUUUGUAAAUGUUGUUAAUGGCCUUGCUGUAAAUGCAUCAUUUAAUGUUUACACCUUUAAUUUUUUUCCUGUUUUUGCUAACAAUUUUUUAUCUUGUUAUCUAUCAUUUUAUAAUUGCUGUUAGAUUGUUUUCUUGGCUGUCAUUUUUCUCCCCAAAUCCACAACUCUGAAACAAAGCCUUCAUCUCUACUUUUCUGUCCAAUGGGCUAAAGUGUGGAGGGUGUUUGAAUAGGAGAAGUUCUUUCUCAUUUUUUACCCUCCAGCUCCAGCCGUGAGGUGCCAGCUGAUCUGACAAGGCAAUAGGAAAGGGUGGGGUGGAGAGAAGAUUCAAAAAUGACAGCUAAAACAAGAGCGUCCCAGUUGCCCAACGUGGUUAAACAGAUUACUUUCCUUACAGAUUCAGCUAAGAAGCCAUAUAACUCGAGUUCAUUUAUGGAACUAUUUGACCUUGCUUUUCUUUUUUCUUUUUCAGAAUAAAUCCUCUGGUCCUCAAUUGGAGACACUGCAGAAACCAGGGAGUCCAUUUUUUUUUUUUUUUUUUUUUUUUAAAUCCAUAUGAAGGUUUGGGUCGGGAAUUUUUCAAACACUGGAAUAAAUUUUUCAUUUGAACUUUGAUAUCCAGACAAGCCCAGCUCAUGUUCUCUUGGGUCUCCUUCCCAAAGACCAGACUUCAAACAGACACUGCUCGCCGCCUUAGCAGAGGCAGCAGAAAAGCACUACUCCAGCCACGGCGGCAGCAGUCAACAUAAGCCCUGCACAUGCGGCCUGUCUGGGCCGGACCCUGGUUUGCUACCCUGCUUGGAAACCAGCACAUCCUAUUCUGUGGACCUGAAUAAAGCACAGUUCCUCAGAGGACAAUGAAUGAACCUGUCAUCUCUCAAGGCAGGGAUGCUGGGAUGUCCCACUGCCGCCUGGGGAUCCUGCCUGGAACAUUCUCAAUAACAUGGGAUUUGCAUCUUGAAGGGAAACAGGCAAACACAUUAUUUUGUUUGGCUUAUUUGCUUCUUAUUCUUUCAGUUUCCUACUUUGCCUCUUAGAGUUUGGCUUGUGAGAGAAAGAGAUAUGUUUCUUACCAAUGAGACUCCAGAGAACUUUUAGUUUAACUCUUCAUUUAACUUGUGAAAAUUGACAAAACAGAGCAUGGGAAGGAGGGGAAAAAAAGAAACUGAUUUUCUCUGACAACCACAGAAGCAGCUCAUUUCCUUUUGGGGACCUAGAUCAGAGACUAUAAGUAAUUGAAACCUAAUACACAGCAUCCCUCAGCAAAGUGACCACCCUGGGGCUGUUAUCAUCAUUUCCUGUUAACUGUCACCCGAAAUUACCAGUUGUGGAAAUGGCAUGGGGGCCCCAAGCAAAGGAAUGGAGUUUGGGGAACGGCUAGCCCACUCAUGUCCCAUAACAAAAUACAAAUGAUUUAACAGCAAUACUGACAGGGUUCUCAGAAUAAAUCAUUUCCAUUCCCACUGCUGCAAAUCACUUACUGCGAUUGCCUUGAGACAGAUUUGGGGAGUUGGCUAUUGGUCACCCAGGCUCUAGGACAAUUCCCCCUAGUUACCUAUGGAGAUAAAUUGCAAUUCUGACCUAAUUUACUGCUCUUCCCCACGGCUAAGGGGCCAGGACUCUCUGCACUUCAGGAAGCCUAGAAGAUAAAGGUGACCAGAAUAAUUGUCAAGUCUUUCCAAGAAUCCCCCACCCUAUCCAGCGGUGUUGACUCUUGAAAGCCUGAGCCCCUACAUGGGUGCUAUGGCUGGGCCAGCCUGGUUUUUCUAUCCAACCAAAUGUCUGACUGGACCCAAUCACACCCUUCUGUGUAUCAACCCCACAUUCUCCCAAGCUCUGUCUCAUCCCAUUGCAAUGAAUAAGGUUUGGAAUCUUGCUUUUACUUUUUUACAGAGCCCAAGUUCCUGUGUGCCCCUGACCAACCAGUCAAGAGGUACGAACUUCUGCAAACUGUGCCUCUCCUUUGAAUGAGUCACAUUGCCCUCUGGGCCUCCUCAGCACUUUGGCCAUGUCUGUGUACCAGUUUGCCUGUCUGCUGUGAACUAAGAAGACCUGGAAAGGGGGGGCCUGGUGUCUUGCAUCUUUGUAUGUCCACUACCUGCCAAAGUGUGCAUGGGAUGGGUGUCUGAGGAAGCUAGAAAGAGGAAAGGACAAUGGGAAGGAAUCUUGGCUUAGUGAUCCAAUUCUCCGGAUCUGGUUGCAAAGUGGUAACAUGUACAGAUAUAGAAUUGCAAUUUAUCUCCCUGGAAAGCUUCAUGGGAAGUCUUAAUUCCAACUUAUAAGCUCUGAUUUGAACUCCACCACCAUUUUGGUAGGGUUAGGGCACCUGGGAAGCCUCCUCCAAGACCUGCCAAUGUUAUGUCAUUUCUUGACCUUGAUCCCCAAGGCCUUAGCUCCAGCCCUUGUUAUCUCACACCAGGGUGGCCGCCCUGGACAGACCAUGUGUCCUGGUGCCCUGUGGCUCAUUCAUCACCCUUCCUUUGUGGCCAAGUCAUCAUUCCCCCAAACCAGACCCUGCCCCUCUCCUCGUCAAGAAGCCAGCACUCACUCCCAGGCUCCAUCUGGCCCUCUAGGCUCUCUGACAUUGCCCCAUGCAAUGCUCCCGACUCCCCAAGAACCUUCAGGCCAAUUCUCUUAUGACAUCUUGCUUAGUCCCACCUUGAACCUUCUCUGCCAACCAGUAUAAUCUCAUUUCAUAACCCAGUUAAAGUGUUGUUUCAAGAAGCCUUCCUAAGGGACCCUAGUCCAGCUGUUCUUUCUGCUACUUGGUACCUCUGCAUCCACAGCCUCACCAACUGCCUCUCCCUCAUUCAUUCCUUCUGUCCAGGCAAAUUUAGUGAGCUCCACCAGGUGCCAGGCCUACACAUGUAAAGCGGCAGAACUGAGAUUUGAAUUCAGAUCUAAGCCACUGGAAAGCCCAGCUCUCCAUCAUAAUACCACCGCGCCCAGCCAGAGACAUGGGGCCCCCUCUCCUUGCUCUUGCCCUCGCUUCCUGCCUCAGUGAAGAGAGAGGUGGUGUUGGCCAUGAAUGUAGGCAUCUUACCAGUUGGGCUGCAGUCCUGGGGUCCCCCUCUUCAAUAAUUCCCACAUCCCACUUUGGGAAUGAAAUCACUUUGAGGGUCUGGGGAUGCCCUUCCUAGAGUGCAAGACAGCAGCCUGACUUCAAAAAGGGACCUAGAUGGGGAGAGAGAGGACAGAUCCCUCCUCAUCGAAUAAUUCCUCCUUACACACCAGGGAGAAACUCAAACUGGAGUGUCAUUCCCAUCAUGGGUAAGGAAAGAAAGGAAACAAGUAAGGGAGUUGAAGGCAUUGGUGAUGAGAGGGGGCCAUGGGCCAAGGCUUAGCGACUGGACCGAUAAAGAAUCUGGAUGUGUUGGAGUUCCCGUCGUGGCUCAGUGGUUAAUGAAUCCGACUAGGAACCAUGAGGUUGCGGGUUCGGUCCCUGGCAUUGCUCAGUGGGUUAAGGAUCCAGCGUUGCCAUGAGCUGUGGUGUGGGUCGCAGACUUGGCUCAGAUCCUGCAUUGCUGUGGCUCUGGUGUAGGCCGGCGGCUACAGCUCUGAUUCGACCCUAGCCUGGGAACCUCCAUAUGCCACAGGAGCGGCCCAAGAAAUG
rnacentral:lncRNA from 1 species